rnacentral:ncRNA from 1 species
GAAAUACUGAAAGUUGAUUUAUACAAAGGCCUGUGGCAGGUGGUGAAGUGAUUUCUGCCUAGUGUUCUGAAUGUCCAAGUGAAGAAAUUCACUGAACCCCAGAUAAAUUGAUGGAUGUAACUGUAUUCUCUUAAGGUAACCAAAUGUUCCAUUAUCUAAUUAGGGAUGUGCAUGAAUGGAU